UUCGGGAAAUCACCCCACAAUUCUUCUACCAAUCCUUUGGUCUUGUGGCUGACCGGAGGGCCAGGAUGCUCAUCUCUUGGAUCCGGAGCACUGGAUGAGCUUGGACCUUUCAGAGUUAAGAGCGAUGGAAAAAUGUUAUAUGAAAACGAUUACUCAUGGAGCAAAGUGGAAAAUAUGUUAUUCCUGAAAUCACCGGCCGAAAUCGGAUUUUCCUAUUCCAACACCGGCUCCAACUAUAACACCACAGG